UACGUAGGGUGCAGGCGUUAAUCGGAAUUACUGGGCGUAAAGCGUGCGCAGGCGGUUUGCUAAGAGAGAUGUGAAAAUCCCCGGGCUUAACCUGGGAACUGCGUUUCUAACUGGCAGGCUUGAGUGUGGCAGAGGGGGGUGGAAUUCCACGUGUAGCAGUGAAAUGCGUAGAGAUGUGGAGGAAUACCGAUGGCGAAGGC
rnacentral:rRNA from 1 species